rnacentral:lncRNA from 1 species
GCAGGGUGGGUGGAGAGUCAUCUGCUGAAGAUGGAGGGACCAUGUAAUGUGGAAAUAACAGUAGCAAACAGAUACUGUACCACACAGAUAGAAGUGCUGGUGGCGGCAAAGUUCUGAAAGUGACACAGAGGAUGGACUGCAGGCAGAAGCUCCGGUUGAGGAAGAUGGAGGAAAGCCAUUUACCAGCUCGACAGCCUUCAGCUAGGGAAAAGGCUCUGUGAGCAUCGUUAAGAAGUGCUUACCAUCCAGCGGUCACGAUGCAUCCAACAAGAGUGAGCGCUAAUGGCCUGGGAACAAAGAGGCAAAUUACUGAGGUCUACUAAAAUGUUUCUCCACUUAUCUUCAAUUAUUCAGACCCAACCCAAUUUCCUUCUAAAUUAAAUGCUGCGGCUUGAGUUAACUUACGUGACUGAACAUUUAAUAACAGAUGCCUUCUGUACCUGCACAUGACUCUGCUGAGAAAGUACAGGCGGUCGGGUUUACUUUGCAUCAUCUCUGAAGUAUAACCCUUUCCUAGAUGUGUUAAGCUGGCGUGCUCUGGAAGGUGCAGAGUUAGGGUUCCCCCACCUCCCCCUGGUGCUAAGACUUAAGAAGCCUCCAAACUACUUCUUUCCAACUCUGCUG